GAUGAACGCUGGCGGCGUGCCUAAUACAUGCAAGUCGAGCGAACGGACGAGAAGCUUGCUUCUCUGAUGUUAGCGGCGGACGGGUGAGUAACACGUGGAUAACCUACCUAUAAGACUGGGAUAACUUCGGGAAACCGGAGCUAAUACCGGAUAAUAUUUUGAACCGCAUGGUUCAAAAGUAAAAGACGGUCUUGCUGUCACUUAUAGAUGGAUCCGCGCUGCAUUAGCUAGUUGGUAAGGUAACGGCUUACCAAGGCAACGAUGCAUAGCCGACCUGAGAGGGUGAUCGGCCACACUGGAACUGAGACACGGUCCGGACUCCUACGGGAGGCAGCAGUAGGGAAUCUUCCGCAAUGGGCGAAAGCCUGACGGAGCAACGCCGCGUGAGUGAUGAAGGUCUUCUGAUCGUAAAACUCUGUUAUUAGGGAAGAACAUAUGUGUAAGUAACUGUGCACAUCUUGACGGUACCUAAUCAGAAAGCCACGGCUAACUACG
rnacentral:rRNA from 1 species